AGCGAUAGAAAUUCAAGCAAAAACAUUUGGACCUGACCAUGUUAAUAUUGCGACAACGUACAACAAUCUGGGAUUGGUUUACAGUAAUAUGGAAGAGCACGAGAAAGCAAAAGAUUUAAAUGAACGAGCGAUGAAAAUUAAAACGAAUCAUUUGGACCUGAGCAUGUUAAUAUUACGAGAAAGCAAUCACGUUGUAAUUUACUGUGAUGGGAAAAACACGAAAAACCAACAUAAAAAAGUUUACAACGAGCGAUACAAAUUGAAAGUGAAGCACUUGACCUCUAUAUUUAUCUUUUAUUUGCCAACAGCUAAAAGUCUUUCGUAUUUGAGAAGCGUUUCACGAGAUAAAGGAAGAAAAAAGGACAAAAGACAGUUGUUUUUUCAGUUUAGAGCGAUAGAAAUUGAAAGAAAAGCAUUUGCACCUGAACAUGUACUACAAUAACAUACAACAAUCUUCAUUUGGUUAUAAACAAACUAUAGAUAUUGAAAUUGAAGCAUUUAGACUUCUAUUUAUCUUUUAUUUGCUAGAAGCUAAAAUACUCCUGUCUUUGAGAAAACGUACAAGGAGAUAGAAGAAGAGGAAAUGAAUUUGUAGGUCAUUUUCAAUGGAGAAGAAAAUCAAUUUCUCUUUUCAUUUUAGGUAUGUCUUCUUUAUACUAAAGCUGAUUAGAAACAGUUGUAUUGUAGAUUUCUUUUCACAAAGGUUCAAAUAACAACGGUUGUAUAUUUAUAAAAGGUAUAAGUAUAUUAUUGACAAUAUUCAAA